UGGCACGCCAAGUGUUCGCUUUGGUUGCUAACUUGCAUUGUGCCCUCUCAAAUUCGCGGAGCACACUGCAGAACAGCAAGCAAGAAUGCCAUCAAACGCCUACCAUUGCCGGAUCCUACUCAUUCUCGUCUUCAGUUUAUUGGUUAUUAGCAGCAGCCUUGCCGGAGCUUUACGGCCACCAAAUUGCCAGCAAGCGGAUUCGAACAGCCCCUGUCCAGGAUUCUGCGAUCCGAAUUUGACUGUAUGUCAUCAUUAGUACGUGAGAGGAGAGCUCAUUCUGAUUCUUCACAAUUCACACAGAAUUUGAGCAGAUUCUCUGGUUACCUUUGAUCUCCCAAUGCUGGAACACUUGAACGAUGAUGCAUUUACAUGUCUGUACCCUUGAGUAACUUAAGUAGGCUAUAUUCCCUUGUAAUAGGGAUUGGUAUAUCACAGAGUUUUGGUCAAAUUUCAUACUUUAUGUAAAUGUGUCGCGUAUAGGAGUUCUAUCCACAAAGAUAAUAAGAGGAUUCCAAAA